rnacentral:snRNA from 1 species
GCUUUGAAGAAAUCAGCAACC